rnacentral:rRNA from 1 species
AGCCAGCAGCCGCGGUAAUACAGAGGUCCCGAGCGUUGUUCGGAUUCACUGGGCGUAAAGGGUGCGUAGGUGGUGAGGAAAGUCGGAUGUGAAAUCUCCGGGCUUAACCCGGAAAUGGCAUUGGAAACUACCUUGCUAGAGGUUUUGAGGGGGGACUGGAAUUCUCGGUGUAGCAGUGAAAUGCGUAGAUAUCGAGAGGAACACCAGUGGCGAAGGCGAGUCCCUGGAAAACACCUGACACUGAGGCACGAAAGCUAGGGGAGCAAACAGGAUUAGAUACCCUGGUAGUCCUAGCCCUAAACGGUGCUUGCUUGCUGUAAGAGGAAUCGACCCCUCUUGUGGCGGAGCUAACGCGUUAAGCAAGCCGCCUGGGAAGUACGGUCGCAAGAUUAAAACUCAAAGGAAUUGACGGGGGCCCGCACAAGU